rnacentral:tRNA from 1 species
GCGUCCAUAGCUCAUCUGGAUAGAGUAACGGACUUCGAAUCCGUAGGUGGCCUGUUCGAGUCAGGCUGGACGCA